UACGAAGGGGGCUAGCGUUGCUCGGAAUCACUGGGCGUAAAGAGCUCGUAGGCGGUUUGUUGCGUCGGCUGUGAAAUCCCGAGGCUCAACCUCGGGUCUGCAGUCGAUACGCGCAAACUAGAGUGUUGCAGGGGAGACUGGAAUUCCUGGUGUAGCGGUGAAAUGCGCAGAUAUCAGGAGGAACACCGGUGGCGAAGGCGGGUCUCUGGGCAACAACUGACGCUGAGGAGCGAAAGCGUGGGGAGCGAACAGG
rnacentral:rRNA from 1 species